CAGCCGCCGCGGGAACACGGAGGGGGCUAGCGUUGUUCGGAAUUACUGGGCGUAAAGCGCACGUAGGCGGCUUGGUAAGUUAGAGGUGAAAGCCUGGAGCUCAACUCCAGAAUUGCCUUUAAGACUGCCGAGCUAGCAGGUGAGAGAGGUAAGUGGAAUUCCGAGUGUAGAGGUGAAAUUCGUAGAUAUUCGGAAGAACACCAGUGGCGAAGGCGGCUUACUGGCUCAUACUGGACGCUGAGGUGCGAAAGCGUGGGGAGCAAACAGGAUUAGAUACCCCGGUAGUCCCUGUCUCUUAUAC
rnacentral:rRNA from 1 species